ACCACAAAGACUUGCUGACCAGUAAUAUAAAAUUGUGGUGUUUGUGUUUGGAAACCUAUAAGCCCAUCCAUCAGGGCGUAUAGCUCCACGUGGUUUGACCAAGCCAUACUUCCAUCCUACAUUUUCAACUUCAGGCAUGUCCUCACCACCGGUAGCCAUGCACAUGAGAGACUGGAAUUGCUGUCUACCAAGUGAAUCUCCAAUAAAAG
rnacentral:misc_RNA from 1 species